UAAGAAGAAAGUUUCUGAUUGUCAUUAUGGAAUAUUUUUAUAUUACAGGGUUCACCAGGUGAGAAAGGGACACAUGGGCCACCAGGGCCUGAAGGCAAGCCUGUAAGUACUGAUAACUUUGGACAUUUUUCAUUCUGUUUUAUCUUUGGAUGCAUGUUGUCUGAACAUGAUGGAAUUGUUCUCAGGGUAAAGAAGGAAAACCUGGUGAUCCUGGCCCCCAGGGAUUUCCAGGGAUGAAGGGUGAAGCAGGUCCGACAGGAGCAAGAGGAGCACCUGGUCCUAAAGGUACAAAGGUAAGUGUUAGAAAAUCAGGAGCAUUAGUGUUUGUUCUUAUUCAAACUGGUUGUUUUAUAGACAGUUCUUCACUCUGUUGCAGGGAGACAGAGGCGAGCCAGGCUUAGCAGGAGAACCAGGUCUCCCAGGACCUAAGGUAAGACUGGGAGAGCAACAGUCCCACGGACUUUCUGAAAAUAAUUAUAUAUAUUAUAUAUAUAUUUCUGCAGCUCUCUCUUAACUUUUAUGGUGUCUUGGUCACUUUUUUCAUUUUAGUGCUGCUUUGUGUCGCUGUACUGCAAGGCACAAGAAGCCACUGAUAAUGCUUUACAAUGUUUUAGACAACUUAAUGACAACAAAUCGUUAAAAAUAAAAUGAAUUGUUAAAAAAUGUCAUUUGAAAUUAGAAGCGUUUGUUUUCCUUCUUUUCCCCCCAAAACUACAGCCAGUGUUAUAACAUUGUACAUGCUGCUGUAGUAAGUGAAAGUGAAAGCUGUAAAACAUAUAAAUACAAAGUUAAAAAUUUACGCCCUGCUUCACAUGUUCCAAAGCCGUCCAAUGGGCCACAUUGGCAUCUCUGCCUGGCCGAUUUUGGGCCCCGGGCCUUAUGUUUGACACCGCUGCUUUAGACCUUUUUGCUCACAGAAUAAUUUCACGCCAUAAAAACUCUGCUCAGUGUGACAUUUGCAGGUGUUAAAGGAAUGCAUGAAUAUAAUAAUAACAUUUUAUCUGAUAUGAAACAUUAAUAGUGAUGUAUAUCAAUAUUACUACAGCAUCUUACAAAAGAACCAGUUUGGGCCACUAUACCCACUCUCUAAAACACUGGUGGUUCCAUAUCUGCUCCGUUUACAUGUAGAUCAAACUAACUGCUUGUGUUUGGUGAAUACAGGGACACGAGUCUUUAAAUGCUGCCACAUUUAGC
rnacentral:lncRNA from 1 species